GUCUCUUGCCAUCCUUGGGUCUAAGCUGUCUGGCAUUUAGUUGUCGGGCAGUGGCUGCCCAUCGUUUACUGUGAAAAAAUUAGAGUGUUCAAAGCAGGCUUAUGCCGUUGAAUAUAUUAGCAUGGAAUAAUAAGAUAGGACCUUGGUACUAUUUUGUUGGUUUGCGCACCGAGGUAAUGAUUAAGAGGGACAGUUGGGGGUAUUCGUAUUCAAUUGUCAGAGGUGAAAUUCUUGGAUUUCUGGAAGACGAACUACUGCGAAAGCAUUUACCAAGGAUGUUUUCAUUAAUCAAGAACGAAAGUUAGGGGAUCGAAGAUGAUUAGAUACCAUCGUAGUCUUAACCAUAAACUAUGCCGACUAGGGAUUUGUGGGUGUUAUUUUUGACCCCAUGAGCACCUUAUGAGAAAUCAAAGUCUUUGGGUUCCGGGGGGAGUAUGGUCGCAAGUCUGAAACUUAAAGAAAUUGACGGAAGGGCACCACCAGGAGUGGAGCCUGCGGCUU
rnacentral:rRNA from 1 species